rnacentral:rRNA from 1 species
CCUACGGGAGGCAGCAGUGGGGAAUUUUGGACAAUGGGCGAAAGCCUGAUCCAGCAAUGCCGCGUGAGUGAAGAAGGCCUUCGGGUUGUAAAGCUCUUUUGUCAGGGAAGAAACGGUGAGGGCUAAUAUCCCUUGCUAAUGACGGUACCUGAAGAAUAAGCACCGGCUAACUACGUGCCAGCAGCCGCGGUAAUACGUAGGGUGCAAGCGUUAAUCGGAAUUACUGGGCGUAAAGCGUGCGCAGGCGGUUUUGUAAGUCUGUCGUGAAAUCCCCGGGCUCAACCUGGGAAUUGCGAUGGAGACUGCAAGGCUAGAAUCUGGCAGAGGGGGGUAGAAUUCCACGUGUAGCAGUGAAAUGCGUAGAGAUGUGGAGGAACACCGAUGGCGAAGGCAGCCCCCUGGGUCAAGAUUGACGCUCAUGCACGAAAGCGUGGGGAGCAAACAGGAUUAGAUACCCUGGUAGUCCACGCCCUAAACGAUGUCUACUAGUUGUCGGGUUUUAAUUAACUUGGUAACGCAGCUAACGCGUGAAGUAGACCGCCUGGGGAGUACGGUCGCAAGAUUAAAACUCAAAUGAAUUGACGGCUGAGACGNGCGAGACGACGACGAGGGAGGAGG